UUUUAUGCUCAGAAGUUUAAAAUAUAUUCUGUAGUUUCUGACAUCUGACACAUCUCUAGCAAGACAGAAGUAUACAGAUUUAAAAAAUCAACAUAAUUAAAAAUUGGACUAUAAACCUUGGAAGAUUAUUUUAUAUAUAUUAAUUUUAGGGUGUGUGUUUAUGUCAUUCUAGGAGGUGGAAUCAAAUUCUCCUGCAGCACUGGCAGGUCUUAGACCACACAGUGAUUAUAUAAUUGGAGCAGAUACAGUCAUGAAUGAGUCUGAAGAUCUAUUCAGCCUUAUCGAAACACAUGAAGCAAAACCAUUGAAACUGUAUGUGUACAACACAGACACUGAUAACUGUCGAGAAGUGAUUAUUACACCAAAUUCUGCAUGGGGUGGAGAAGGCAGGUAAGGUCAUUUUUUAGACUAAGUUAUGACUGCUUAAACAUACCAGUCAGAUAUGUUGCAGACAUUGAUUGUUUUUAUUUUGAAAGAAAUUACUGGUUUAUUUUAAGACUCCUCUUAAAAAAAAGGGAAGAGCUAGUCUAGAAUAUUGAAACCAAU
rnacentral:lncRNA from 1 species